GGUGGCAUGGUGUAAUGGUAGCACGUGACGUUGUGGUUCUCUCUGUGAUUUCUCACAUCAACCCGUUUCAAUCUGGGUUCGAUUCCCAGUGCCGCCA